CCCACUGUUCUACCCCUGCUUCCAGUCUCUGUGAACCUGAGUUCUUUAGCACCUGAGGUUCCAAGAUGACUAACCUGUCUUUACAGAAGCAAGUUUUGUGUGUGGCCCUCUUUGGCUGGCUUCGCUAAUGCUUAGGGGACUGUGCAGCAAGGCACUGCCCCGGUUUUCAUAGCUCUCUGUCAUACACAUUUAAGCAUCACUGCCAUGUGAAUAAUCCCCCGGAGCUUUGCCGUUUGCGAUUUCCUUGCACAGCUGAAGUUUUGGCAGCCUCCAGAACUGGCAGAUAGCGAGGCAGAGCUCAUGGCUGCGGUGUCACCUUGACCAAGUAUCUGAACAUGAAGAAUGGGGCUUCCAGAGUCGGGCGAGGUGGCCCAUGCACUCAGGAGGCUGAGGCAGGAGGAUCGCCGUGAUCGCCGUGAGCUCUGGGCCAUCUGGGGCUACAUA